GGACCUCUAGCUCAGAAGCAGAGCACCCGCCUCUUAAGCGGGGGGUCGGGAUGGCAGAAUUCCCGGGGUCCA
rnacentral:tRNA from 2 species